rnacentral:rRNA from 1 species
UACGUAGGGACCGAGCGUUGUCCGGAAUCAUUGGGCGUAAAGAGCGUGUAGGCGGCCAAUUAAGUCCUGCGUGAAAUCUCGGGGCUCAACCCCGAGCGGUCGUGGGAAACUGGUUGGCUAGAGUGCGGGAGAGGAGAGUGGAAUUCCUGGUGUAGCGGUGAAAUGCGCAGAUAUCAGGAAGAACACCCGUGGCUAAGGCGGCUCUCUAGUUACGGGUACUGGACGCUGAAGACGCGAAAAGCGUGGGGGAGCAAA